AAGGAAGGGACGAAGACAAAUGUGUGGUGUGUGUGAGCAGUGAUUCCAGCAUGAAUUGUGUGAGUGUGAGUGCGUGGGGCAUGUGUGCAUUCAGCAUGCGUGCACCACUCUGAGUGUUGAGUGUACACAGGCGUGUGUGGUCUCACUGUGUGGAUGAUGUGUAUGCAUGUGUGCACACACGUGUGGACCUCAGGCAGGGUCUGAAAGCCUGGAAGUUCCUCCAGUUUAAAGGUUGUGAAAAAUGUUACGGUUUUCAUGGUGACCCUGGGCCAGCCUGGCGCCUGGACGGGCUCUGCUUGCUUUUCUCUGUGAUGGUUCCUCUUGUCCCCCUCAGCCGUCCUCACCUUUUGGCCCCCACUCCCUUUCUGGGCACCCUGCUCUGUUCUGGGAGCCCCCACUCCCUUCCAGGGGCUGCUCCUUUGAGAGCCUGACCUUCCCAUGAGGCCUGCACUCCCUUCCUUGAGGCCAGCAGAACCAAUGCACCCCACCCCCGCCACACCUCUCCCUCCCCCUCCCCCUGCUGCCCCUAGUUUUGAAAUCUCCUUUUGCUUCCCCGUGUGGUCGCUGACCGGGCCUGACUUUGAAAUCUGUUGAAAGGAGACCUUUCUCCUUGGGGCCAGUGUAAACAGCCGGUCAUGUUAAAUCAUGUUCUCUUCCUCUCUCAGCCUGCCUCUCGGGUGUGCUUGGGGAGGGCUGAGCCCCUCUCCUCACUCUCCCCUGCCUGGCGGCCCGGCCUCUGGGGCGUGGUGUGCGCCAGCACCAGGUCAGCUGUGCAGUCCCCAGCCUUGGCAAGCAGCCCAGGGAGUGUGCAAGGCCGCCCCGUCCCCAUGGGCCCCGCUGGGGCUCCAGCUGACCCUCCCCUCUUCCAGCCCAGAUCCGUGUGCCCUCCUGCCCUUGCCACACACAGGCGUCCCCAUAUCCUGCCAACCCCCCUCAGAAACGCCUCUCCAAUCUGCCUGCCUGCUGAGCCCAGGCCAGCCUAGCCCUGGCCACUCUUGCCCCCUGCCCAAGACUGUCCCCCACCCCACGUCACCAUCACGUGGCUCCUGGGGGCCUCCGUGUCAACCUUGGGCCCUUGGCCAGGUCCAGGCCCACCCCGAAAUCUCCACUAACCCACUUCUUUUCUUGCCCGCUGCCCUAAAUCCAGCCUUCCCCCACCCUAGUGUCCAGACCAAUGAAGUCCAUGCCUCCCGCUGUGUGGACAGAGCCCAGCUUGUCAAGGGCCUCCCCACGCCUCAGUGGAUGGUGCGAUUGGUCUCCUGGCUAAGGGUCCGAAUUCUCCUUUGCCCCCGGUCAUGCCUGUCUCUCGGAAAGGCUUUGGGAGGUGACAGCUGCCCCAGUGCCUCCAGAAUCAGGCCCUUCCUGACUCCACUUUCUUAA
rnacentral:lncRNA from 1 species